CAGCAGCCGCGGUAAAACAGAGGGUGCGAGCGUUAAUCGGAUUUACUGGGCGUAAAGCGUGCGUAGGCGGCUUUUUAAGUCGGAUGUGAAAUCCCUGAGCUUAACUUAGGAAUUGCAUUCGAUACUGGGAAGCUAGAGUAUGGGAGAGGAUGGUAGAAUUCCAGGUGUAGCGGUGAAAUGCGUAGAGAUCUGGAGGAAUACCGAUGGCGAAGGCAGCCAUCUGGCCUAAUACUGACGCUGAGGUACGAAAGCAUGGGGAGCAAACAGGAUUAGAUACCCCUGUAGUCCCUGUCUCUUAUAC
rnacentral:rRNA from 1 species